CUCUCUAUCUCAAAAAAAAAACCGCAGACCAUCUCUCAAUGUCUUCAACCUCCAUAGCUGACCAUCUCUCUAUCGUAUUUUUUUUCCCCUUCUUUUGGAUGGAUGUGCGAAGAUAUAACUCGACAAUGUUGAUCUUGGAACAGCAUGUGGGAAGUUUCAUCGUGUGUCAUGCCUCAGCAUCAUUGACCCAGGUGAUUCAGACAUUAUCAAGUCUCUGCCUGGAGAUCACUAAGAGUUGGUGAUCUAGUAGUAAUCCUCUAGAAACUAUUUUACCCGGGCUGCGCCAACCUCCAUAGCUGACCAUAGAGUGAUGGUCUGCAUUUUUUUUAGAGAGAGAGAGAGCAGCGUUAGAUACGGGUUAAGUUUAGAUUUAUUUGGGUAUGAUAUGUUAUUGACGGGUCGGGUACUAAAUUGAUUGGGUCGGAUCUUUAUUUCUUUGAUCCGGAUGAAAAAAUAAGAGGGGAAAUAAGUUGGCCACUUAGAGACUGACACGUGGCACGCCGUUAUACUCAAGGGUAUAUUUGGCCCAAAGUAUAAUGGUAAGGGUAUAAUUGGCC